rnacentral:lncRNA from 1 species
CGGCGGCGGCGAAAGCCGACGGGACGAGGGCGCCAGAGAAGGAGCAGACGGAGGCGGCACCACAGCUCCGAGAAGCAAUGACAUUCCCCCUCACGCCCGCCCCGCCGAGACGAGCAAGGGGAGGAGCCCCUGGAGUACGGGCGGAGCUCAGGCAACCUCUAACUCCGCCCCUCGCCCAACAGGAACUGGAGCCUCCGCCUGUCACAAAGCGACAGCUGAGUUUCGGGGCUGCGGCUUCAUUGUCAGUUGAAAGACGCGGUUCCGCGCGCGCGUGCGGCUCUGCUACCUUUGUGAAACUGAGUCUAGCCGAGGAGUCCGGAGGCAUCCACCAGGAUAUCUGCCUGGUGACCCAUAGCCCAGGAAAAGGAAAGAAGCAGAGGGAGAAAUUAAGCUAUGAGCCUGUGAAAUCCUGCACAUGCUGCAAGCAAGUGGUGGUGUGUGAUGGUUCAGAACAUAGGCUCUGCUGCAAAAUGAAAAUGUGGAAACAUGUACUGGGUCACAAAGGGAACCACAUGACGGGAAUAGCCAUGGAAACCUCAAGUCACUACUGGAAAAACAACUCAAAGGUCAUGUUCAGUUGAAAUUAGUUUAGCUGUGUGGUCUUUAUUGACAAAAGAUGUGAGUGUGUGAGUGUGUGUGUGUGUGUGUGUGUGUGUGUGUGUGUCUUUGAGCAAGGUACAUAAUGUAAAUAGGCAAGGUGUUUGACAACUCAUGAAAUUCAGUCUUAUAGUUCCUCUUCCUCAUGUGUAUAGUGUGUAUGUAUUUAGGCAUGGUGCUGUAUAUUCACAACUCAAGAAGUAAAACCAAGUCUAAAAAUAUAGAUUUUAUUUUAUUUACUAUUAUUUACCAAACACACACGCGCGCACACACACACACACACACACACAUGCGUGCAUACACUAGAUUCAAUGUCUUCUUGGCUACUGAGGCUUGAUGGAAACAUUCCAUAAACCCCAAUACUUCUUGCACUCUGCAGACUCUUUCUGGGGAGUGUGUUUCCCAGGCUUUGCACAGGAUGCGUGAGUGCCAGUCCCUCUUCACUCCCUCUCCUUGGGGUGUGGCACUGAAAACAGUCAGCUAGCACUUUGACCAGAAGGGCAAUAUUCCUACUGGAGGCAUCCUCUGGACACCUACAACUUGCUUCUCUUUCAUUUCAACGUUGAAAAUCCACUCAAGCAUGUGUGAGAACAAAGUCUUGUUUAGAUAUGCCAACAAACCCGAAUCAUUACCUUCAAAGCUAAAUUUAUUCCUGCUUGAAUUUCAAGUUUUCAUUUCUUUAAAUCAAGGCACUCAUAAAAUCCAGGUGUUCAUAAGCUUACAAUGCUAUCCACAUGAGGAACCCCUUCAGACUCUCGG